CUCUCAGUACAGCCCUGGAGCAAUUCCUGCAUCACCACUCUCUGCAAGCAGCAAGCUAUUUCUUUGAAUCAACAGAUAGGCUGCAUACUCAAGACAUUUGUUCUGUUCAGCUGCAGUCCUAUUACCAUCAGCAGAGGAACUGAAAUCUCGGGAUUGAUCCUGAGAAAAUGGUAUUGGAAAUAAACCUGAAAAUGGAGGAUGAGAAACCUUUCUAUAUUGAAGUGACUUCGCUGAAAGGAGUGAGUUUAACCACUGAGAGUGAAAUACAAUCUCAUAUUCAACAUGAUAAAUCCAGUUCAACAGACCUGCCAGAUACUGCAGUUGAACUCAUAACUAUUGCUCCAGUUUCUACGGACAGUGUAACAGAUCAAGAGAAUGAUAAUGUAUCUUUGUGCACUGUACCUGAGAUUAAAAUCAAUAUUGAUAGGACCCAAGUUAAAGUUGUAUCCUUCUCAGACAACAGCAAUAAUGUCUUCUUUAACUGUGCCAAUGACUGUCCAACAACCUGCAACAAGAGAAGUGGUGACUUUCAGAAUAUCUUGAGGACAUUCUCUCCAGAUGAUAACAUCAUUGAAACAAUUGCAGGAAAAACAAUGGAUGAUAAAAACAGCAACCAGUCCAAUCUAGCAGGGCUAAACCCAGAAAUGACACAGGAACUGACUGAUACCAAGGAGUCCCAAUGCUCUAGAAACUGUAGAAGUUGCUGUACAACAUUCGUCUGUAGCCUUGUUUCUGUGGGUUUGGUGUUCCUUUCACCAUUAAUAGUCACUGGGUAUUUUUUAUAUGAACUUUUCAGCUGUGUAUCUAAGUGUAAGGACACCUGUCCUACUUAACCCUCUGCUGCUUCUUGUGCAUAUUCAGGCAUUUGUUUCUCAGUGUACUGGUUUGUCGAAAACUACUAUGUCCUUAUUUUGUCUUCUGUCUUUACAUGAUAAUAGCUAUUGAUAAUUGCAAUGAAGGCAUGAUAUAAUUGAUGGAUUUCCAAAAAAUGGCAUAAAAUUAGAUAAAUAUUAGACUAUUGUAUUUUAAAUUGUUUGUUAUAAUCUAAUUAGUAACAGAUAGCCUGUGAAUCAUCAUGUUACCAUUGAUAAUGUGAAAAACCCUUCAUGAAAACUGAUGAAAUACCAUUGCCAAUGGGUGAGAAUUCACUUUGUGAUUAUAAAUAUCUUUUAUAUCUCA